rnacentral:rRNA from 1 species
AUGCGUAGAUAUGUGGAGGAACACCAAUGGCGAAGGCAGUCUUCUGGGCCAAUAUUGACGCUGAGGCUCGAAAGCGUGGGUAGCAAACAGGAUUAGAUACCCUGGUAGUCCACGCCGUAAACGCUGAGAACUAGACGUUGGCUGACAUAGUCGGCCAGUGUCGCAGCUAACGCGUUAAGUUCUCCGCCUGGGGAGUACGGCCGCAAGGUUGAAACUCAAAUGAAUUGACGGGGGCCCGCACAAGCGGUGGAGCAUGUGGUUUAAUUCGAUGCAACGCGAAGAACCUUACCUGCCCUUGACAUCCUGCGAAUCCGGUAGAGAUGCCGGAGUGCCUUCGGGAACGCAGAGACAGGUGCUGCAUGGCUGUCGUCAGCUCGUGUUGUGAAAUGUUGGGUUAAGUCCCGUAACGAGCGCAACCCCUGUCCCUUUUUGCCAGCGGUCCGGCCGGGAACUUCAGGGAGACUGCCGGUGACAAACCGGAGGAAGGUGGGGACGACGUCAAGUCAUCAUGGCCCUUACGGGCAGGGCUACACACGUGCUACAAUGGCCGGUACAGAGGGUUGCGAAGCCGCGAGGUGAAGCCAAUCCCGCAAAGCCGGCCUCAGUCCGGAUCGGAGUCUGCAACUCGACUCCGUGAAGUCGGAAUCGCUAGUAAUCGCGGAUCAGAAUGCCGCGGUGAAUACGUUCCCGGGCCUUGUACACACCGCCCGAAUCCCGCGGCCAUGNGGCUGGAGCUCAUGCAUGGUGG